rnacentral:rRNA from 1 species
UGGUGGGUAGUUUGACUGGGGCGGUCUCCUCCUAAAGAGUAACGGAGGAGCACGAAGGUUGGCUAAUCCUGGUCGGACAUCAGGAGGUUAGUGCAAUGGCAUAAGCCAGCUUGACUGCGAGCGUGACGGCGCGAGCAGGUGCGAAAGCAGGUCAUAGUGAUCCGGUGGUUCUGAAUGGAAGGGCCAUCGCUCAACGGAUAAAAGGUACUCCGGGGAUAACAGGCUGAUACCGCCCAAGAGUUCAUAUCGACGGCGGUGUUUGGCACCUCGAUGUCGGCUCAUCACAUCCUGGGGCUGAAGUAGGUCCCAAGGGUAUGGCUG